AACGAACGCUGGCGGCAGGCCUAACACAUGCAAGUCGAACGCCCCGCAAGGGGAGUGGCAGACGGGUGAGUAACGCGUGGGAACCUACCUAGUGGUACGGAACAACUCGGGGAAACUUGAGCUAAUACCGUAUACGCCCUCAGGGGGAAAGAUUUAUCGCCAUUAGAUGGGCCCGCGUGGGAUUAGCUUGUUGGUGAGGUAAUGGCUCACCAAGGCGACGAUCCGUAGCUGGUCUGAGAGGAUGAUCAGCCACACUGGGACUGAGACACGGCACAGACUCCUACGGGAGGCAGCAGUGGGGAAUAUUGGACAAUGGGCGCAAGCCUGAUCCAGCCAUGCCGCGUGAGUGAAGAAGGCCUUAGGGUUGUAAAGCUCUUUCGACGGGGAAGAUAAUGACGGUACCCGUAGAAGAAGCCCCGGCUAACUUCGUGCCAGCCGCCGCGGUAA
rnacentral:rRNA from 1 species